CUGACUCAUUUGAAAAGACCCUGAUCGUGAAGGCCCGCGGCGGGUGUUGACCUGAUGUGAUUUCUGCCCAGUGCUCUGAAUGUCAAAGUGAAGACAUUCAAUGAAGUGCGGGUAAACGGCGGGAGUAAAUAUGACUCUCUUAAGGUAGCCAAAUGCCUCGUCAUCUAAUUAGUGAUGCGCAUGAAUGGAUGAACGAG
rnacentral:ncRNA from 1 species